rnacentral:lncRNA from 1 species
AACAGAUCGCUAUUAAACCCUACCCAAUUACAUUACAGACGUUACUUACUGGUUCAUUCAUAUAAUUCGGUCGUUUCAAUGCUCAAUACAAAUACAUUACAUCUCGAUAAGCGAUUAUACAACAUAUUAGGGUUCAGCAGGAUUAAUGGCGAGUGCCAUGAUUGAAGCAAUCAUAAACACAGAAACAGAAAGGAAUGUGAAACUAACCUGCUAUAAGAUGGGCGGGGGAGAGAGAGAGAGAGAGAGGGGUGCGCAGUCACAGAUGUUAUAAUCCUACAAGUACUCUCAUCCAAAAUAUGAAACAUAUCUACCAGGUGCUGGAAAACGAAUUGGGAUAAAUUACACUUCACAUUCACCCAUUUACUUACUGAAAUUUUCACAUUUGCACCCUUAAUGAGUAAUGAAAGUGUCUGUGUGAAUGUGCUUAGUGAUGACUCAACAAAUGGGGGGUAAGAGAAGGAGCGAUUCUUUCGAUAAAUUAUUUAGUGCUCUUUUAGAGAAAAUCUUAGUGGUACUCUAACUUCAGAGUGAUUGGUCUAAACAGUGUGAUCUGCUCAUUUUUAUUUGGGUUGUGACCAACAUGAUGCAUCAUUCAUUGACUAGUGUAGAGCAUUGUUCUAAGAGCACCAAAUAAUCUCUCUUGAUUGGUAACCCAAAAUUUCUAAAAAGUCUUAAUUUUAUAAUAGUAUAAAUUACAAAAACAAAAUAAUUAUAAAAACUUGUCACCCAAAAGAGAAUAAAUAUCAUAUUUCAUGAAUAGGUUACAUAUUUUAUAUUUUGUAUGCACAUUCGUCUCUCCAAUAUUAAAUUUUUUUUAUCCAUCUUUGGAUGUGGUGUUCAAUUAAGUGAAUAAAAGGAGGCUAUGCAGCUCUUAACUAGACAGAAAAUGGACAACAGAGGAACAUAAACACUUGCCCUGAAGUGUCAGAGAUUGAUUGAUACAAUUGGGAGUAAAGGGUAUAAAGUGAUAUUUUGUUAAAAGCGAAGGGUGAAAAUGUAUUUAAUCAAAAAUAAUUAUCAGUAAAACACCAGUUUUAAUAUGAAUAUAAUAAGCAUUUAUUCAGAUAUGCUUGAAGUGAUAGAAAGAAAUUACUGUAAAAACACAACUUUUCGACUUGUAUGCGAGAUUAUCUAUUUAACGAGUCUGCUCUCAGGGAGACGGAAUAAAAAAUGGGACUAUAUUCUCUCUUUCAUCACAAACCCGUUUGAGUUGAUAGAUAAAAUUCAAAGCUAGUCCUUUAUAUUCCUUCUCUCUUUUAACAGUCAUACGUAGGAUUUUCCUUUCCUCAGUCCACUUUAAUCACACUCCACAAUGAUCUUCGGUCCUUUCGGGAAAAAAAUGAAAAAUGGUUUGUUUGGCCAAUAGAGUGGGAAAUCCGAUUGUCAAACUGAUUGUGCAAAUUCUUUCAAGCCCACUGAAAACAUGGUCAGUUCAGUCUUUAAAGUUUUUCAAGUUAGCGUGCGCACAUGGUCAGCGGAUAACCGGCACCUCCAUCACCGCCACAUCCACUACAUGACUACAACCUCCAUAAUCACCUCCUCGUCUCUCUUUAUAUAUAGUAAUUAAUAUCCUGACUUAGUUACCUCAGUUAUCAAACAAAUUAUACGCCGUCAAGAACAACUUUUGCACUGCACCAAUCAACAAUGGCCAAUUACACCCAUCACCUCCAUGAUAUCCACCUUCACUCUGUCCCAAACCCAAAACCUGAAGACCAUGCCCAAACAACUAUCACCAAGACUCUCGGUAGAUUCCGAAAACCUCAACCUACUACACUUAAUUAAAACCAAAAUCACCAUCACAUAUCGCCAUAACAGGCAAAUUUCACCAAGUGAUCUCUUGCACCACCAUAAACAAGGUCUAAAUUAUUUCCUAAUGCUUAUUUAAGCGCACAUAUACACUAUGUAUACAUGUAUGUAAUUUUGUAUGUGUGUCAUACGAGGAAUGCACACCGCCAACAAGUUUUCUCUCUCUGCACGAACACAUAAUAAUACUUGGAGGGUUGGUAGUACAGUCUGGUGGGUAUGGAGCUGUAGAGAUGGAGGUAGGUAUUGCACUUGAUUUGGUGGUGGAUGAUGAUUUUCACGGUGAAGGGGUUGGCGGUUGUCUACGGCAAUGGUGGAGAUGGGAUUAAGGUUCUGGUGACUUGGGGUGGCUGCCAUGGUUUGGUUGGUGGCUUCGAGCAAUUGGUGGAUGUGGGCUGCGAGAGUUAGGCCAAGUGGAGGUGAAAUCAUGGAGGUAGAUCUUGGUUUUUCUUGGUGAGGUGAAACCAUGGAAGAAGUCAGUGGUCGUUAGGUUCAGUGAAGGUGUAAUCGUGAAGAAAGAUAGUGGCUUUGGUGACUUUUGUAGAUUAUUUGGAUGUCAGUGGUUGAUGAUAAUGAGUUGAUGCUGUCUGCAGGACUGCCAAUGGGAUGUGACUAUGGAAGUCCAUUUGGUUCAACAGGGGUGUGUCGCUAACGAAUAUGAUAUUUUUGUAACUCUGGUGGUUAUAGUAGACCAUCGGGUGGCGGUCUCCGGUAAUACUAACGCUGGCACUAAAAUCAGUCCAACGGGAGGGUGGGGCGGGGGUGGGGUGGGGUGGGGUGGAGAUGUGGAGGUGGAUAUAGUUGGAGGUGAAAUCAAAAGAUCCUUGGCACAGUCAUCUUGGAUUAUAGCGGUUGGUAGAUAGAGAAAGGGGGCAUUGGUGAUUGCAUUAUGGUUGGAUAAUGGCAUGGGUUUAAAGUAAACUAUGGUCUACGGUGGCUAUAAGCAGUGACUGGAGAUAAGGUUGUGAUGACAUAAUGGGAUUGUAUGGAGUAAGGCGGUAACGAGAUGGUGGUGGUUGGGGAUGGAAGGGGAUGGGUACAGGUAGGUUGGCAAUGGAGCCUCCAUUAUGGAGGUGGAUGGUUGCUUUGCGAAUCCUAUAGAUGAGAACUUAUAUUUUAAUUUCUAAUAAAUUAUGCUUUUCGAUGUCAUGAAUGGCUCAAGUUUUAUAAAUAUUUAGAUAAUAUUCCCCCCACUGACUCCCGAGAUUGCAAUUCAUUAUAAGACCAUAUAUUUACUAAAAAGAAAUCUCACCAGGCCAUGGGUUUAGAUACAGAAGGAAUCAUUGACCAUUCUAACUAAUCAACCCAUUUGUUCUGUCAAUGACAGUCUCUUGUAAAUCUCUAUCUGCUGAUGCGGUGGUGGUGUUUCUAAUAAUAGUUUUGUACUGUUGAUGCCAUCUGGACUUUUAUGCUUCCAUGCUAUAACUUAUUGGUUUUCACUUAUCCUGGGGUGCUGCAUCAGCCACAACCAAUGCAUUAUUAAACAACUUUGCUUUUUUCUGAUAGUUUAAGAUGUCCAUACCAUGUCGCAUUGCCAUGGUGAGGAAAUUGUAAAGGAACAUGUAUAGUGAUAUAAGAAAUGGCUUUUUAUAACACUUGAUACUUUAACAAAUGUGAUGUACUUGAUGUCUAUGUAUCAGUUGAUACUACCUUAAUUUACCCUUUUUGGCAUUGGUAUGGUCCCUAACUGUAUCAGUGCUUUCCAGCAUAUCUCGUUUCAGGUUUAUUGCUAUAUUUCGAAAAUAUAUACUCACUCAUAAAAAGUUGUGUUAUAAGAAUGUAACAUCACUUGUAAAUUAUAAAAAAUAUUGUUUAAUACCUACCUAUACACAUUCAACUAUAAAUUAAGAAACUAAUUUAUCUUCAUAAAUCAAAAAGAUUAGAAGCCAAUUACACAAUCUGUUGUAGACUAUACCGACACAUCACAAAAUAUACACAUGCAUUGUAAUACCUACAGGGUAGGUCGUUUGGUCCGGUGGGCAUGGAGUCGAGAUGGAUGGAGGCAUUGCACUUUGAUUUGAUGGUGGUUAAUGAUUUUCACAGUGGGAGUUUGGAGCUGGUGGUCCAUGGCUUGGGUGGACAUGGGGGUUAAGGUGGUGGUGGUGACUUUGGUUUUGACUGCCAUAAUGGUGGGUUGGUCAUGGCAGUUCAGAACAACGGGUGGAUGUGUCUGCAAUCAGGCCAAGUGGAGUUGAAUUCAUGGAGGUAGUUGUUGAUUUGCUUGGUUAGGGGGAACUAUAGAAGUCAAUGGUUGUUAGGUUCAAUGACGGGUAGUUGUGAAGAAAGAUUAUGGAUUGGUUGGAUACAGAUGGUAAUGAGUUGAUGCUAGAUGGAAGACUAGGCAAUGGGGUGUAACUAUGGAAGUCACUAGUCGGUGAUGGUUGGUUCAGUCACUGAAGUGGGGGCGCGACGAUAAUGAAUAUGAUGUUUUGGGGCCAUGGAGGCUAAUGUGGAUUAUUUGGGUGGUUGUGGUUGACUGUAAUAAGCGGAUGAUAGGUCCAAGUCUGACCAACAGAGGUAGAGGUAUGGAGACGGAGAAGUGGCCACAGCCGGAGGUAGCAAGGUCUUCUUGGAUUAAAGUCAUCGGUAAGAGAAGAGGAAAGCCAUGAUAGCAUUACAGUGGGUUAAAUGUUAAUGCCACUGUGUUUACAGUGGUAGAAUGGAUAUCAUGUUUGAUGGCUAUGAAGUAGAGACCGGAGAUAAGGUCUUUAUUGGAACAUGAGAUUGAAUGGAGUAAAGUGGCAACAAAAAUGGUGGUCGUUGGGGGAUGGAGGGGCAGAGGUAUGGUGGUUUUCCAGAGGAAGUGGAUGUCGGCUUCCUUAAUCCUAUGUUUUAUCAAUAAUUUCCGUUCUUAUGGAUGAGAACUAGUUCUUUUGAAGUCUAACGACUUGUACUUCUCUCUCAUUAAUUUCUACAUGCUAAGGUCCUAUGAAUAUUUAGUAACAUUUCCCCCAUUGAUUCCCAGUCAUUACAAUUUAGUAAAUAUGAAAUUUCAUCAUGCUUUGCGUUUAGAUCCUGAAUGAUGCACUUAAGAUCACUAACCAGUCAUUUACUUCAAAAUUGAAGAACGGAAACUAAAGGCCACAAACUAUUCAACCGCAUUUUGUGUUGUUUCUAAGGCUAUGUUUGGUUGGAUAGAAUGAUAGACGGAAUGGAAUCAUUCUAUUGGAAUAAUCAUUCCAAUCUCCAUUCCAUUUCUUACAAAAUUUAUCUCAUCCAAACAAACACAACUUAAAUGUUUGCUCAUAUAUCUUUAUCUAAUGUCUUGCUGUCUAUUAACUUGACUAAGAUUAGUUGUUUAUCACUGAUGCCAUUGCAACUAUUCUGCUUCCUUUUACGAUUUAUCAAUUUCCACUUAUCUUCAGUGUGCUAUAUUGGCCACUACAACUUCAUCAAACAACUUUGCUUUUUCUGAUUUGGUGAAAUAAGAAAUGGAUUCCAUAACACUAUGUACUUUUACAAUGGCGAAUCACUCGAUAUCUAUGUACCAGUUAACUAUAUCAGUGUAUUCCAUCAUUUCCCGGUUUGGGUUUAUCGCUAUGAACUCUAUAUUUCAAAAUAUACGCUUACCCAAAGAGUUUUAUGUACAUAAGACAUAACGUAGCAUUCCAGGUAGCAAUAACAAUUGUUUAAAAUCAAUAAAUCAUCAAAAUGUACAUUGAAGAACUAAUUUGGAAUCAUAAAACAAAAUGAAUAAUACAUUGUAUAACACACAAGCAUCUUAAAACAUACAACAAAUAAUCCUACAAUGUCUAUUAGUUUCAAUUACUUCAGAAAAUAAUUCAAACACACAUUCAUGAUUAGUUUUAAAUUAGUUUACUUAAGGUUUGCUAUUUCCCCAAACCGAUUUCACCCAUCGUAGGUGUGUCCAGAUUAGAUUGGGCCUGAGUUUGGGCCGAACGACAUGUAAGGGUAAACAUUAGGACCCAAGUCAUCUGGAUGGAGACGAGCGGUAGAUGGGGCCAGAAAUCCACUUGGCCAAACAUUUGGGCCUGGGUCAAUAAGCACGUUUAGACACGGCUAACGAACUUUAACAGGCUGGCCGGGAUGUCGGACAGCUAAACUAGAACGCACAUGGCUGGUCAAACCGGAACGAGGACAAAGUGUCCGGUCUAGGCCAAACCGUAUCUUACACAUGGUGUGGUCAGAGGGUUGCAUUCGCAUGGAAUGCAGAGAGACUACAAUCCCCUAACUGCAUGGGGACCUUCAAGGAAUAAUGGGAAGGUGCUCGCCUGAUCAUCGUACGCGUAGCUGUACGAGCGUGGGCAAACGUGCUUGAAGAAUUGCGAGUACGUCCGGAGUCGAAUACCACUCGCUACAGUAAUCAUGCGGGUCCCUAACGCUUUAAACGCGACGCUCCGGUAGGGGUAACGAGUUAGUGUGAGUGGUUGGGAUAUGGUACGGGGAUGGGUACAGGUUAGGUUGGCAAUGGGAGGUGGAUGGUAGUGCUUCGACGAAAUCCUAUAGAUGAGGACUUAUAUUUAAUUUCUAUAAAUUGUUGCUUUCGAUGUCAGGAAUGGCUUCAAAGUUUUUUAUAAAUAGUUAGAUCAUAUUCCCCCAACUGACACCCGAAAAGAUGCAAUUCAGAUAAGACCAUAAUUUACUAAAAAGAAAUCUCACCAGGCCAUAGGGUUUAGAUCCAGAAGAAUCAUUGACCAUUCUAAACUAAUCCCAACCCAUUUGCAGUGUUUCUAAAAAAUCGGCCCGCAUAGGACAAUAGGGCCGGCUAGGAACACAGGCCGCCCAGAACGCCUAGGUCCCGCAGGCGCUUGGGCCCCCUCCGCCUCCCGCCACUCGCUCAAAGCCUAGCGCUCUUUAGAAAACCUAAUUUCUAAUUUCUAUAUAUUUUAGGAGAUCUAAAUGCCAUUUCUAUCUUCCUCUUUGUAUUUAUCAACAUUGUUUAAACAUUUAAAACUUUACAUUUUGAAUCAUUUGGGGGUUAGAUUAGAAUGUAAUAUUUGUCAUUAUUAUUAUUUUAGUAAAAUAUUAAUGAUUUAAAUAAAAUAAAUGAAUAAAAACGCCUAGGCCCGCCCGCCUAGGGCGGCGCCCCGGCCUACCGUCUAGGCGGCUAGGCCCCCCCCAGCACACGAUUACCGCCUAGCGAUUUUUAUUAACCUUACCCAUUUGUUAUGUCAAUGGAUAAUCUCGUGGUAAAAUCUCUAUCUGCGAUGUGGUGGUGGUGUUCUAAUAAUAGUUUUGUACUGUGAUGCCACUGGACUUUUAUGCUUCCAUGCUAAACUUAUGGUUGUACUUAUCCGGGGCGCGCUACAUCAGAAAACCAAUGCAUUAAACAACUUUGCUUGUUCUGAUAGGUUUAACAUGUCUAUACCAUGUCGCAUUGCCAUGGUGAGGAAAUUGGUAAAGGAACCUGUAUAGUGAAUAAGAAAUGGCUUUUUAUAACACUUGAUACUUUAACAAAUGUGAGUGUACUUGAUUUCUAUGUAUCAUUGAUACUACCCUUAACAUACCGUUUUUGGCAUUGGUAUGGUCCCUAACGUAUCAAUGCGUUCCAGCAUAAUCUCGUUUUCGGUUUUAGCGCUAUAUUUCGAAAAUAUAUACUCACUAUACAAAGUUGUGUUAUAAGAAUGUAACCUCCUUGUCAAUUAUAAAAAAUAUGGUUUAUACCUUACUACUAGAGCCAUUCACUAAAAUUAAGAACUAAUUUAUCCUUAUAAAUCAAAAAGAUUGAAGUCAAUUACACAAUCUGUUUGUAGACUCUACCGUACAACGAGGGGGAGAGGCAGCGGAAAUAUACACAUCAGCGUCAUAACCUAUAAGGGGGUGGGAGGUGUGCGGUUUGGUCCGUGGCAUGGAGUCGAAUGGGAUGGAGGCUUGAACUUUGAUUUGAUGGUGGUUAAUGAUUUGCCAUGUGGGAGUUUGGCGGCGUGGUGGUCCAUGGCAUUGGUGGACAUGGUGGUUAAGGUGGUGGUGUUGACUUCGGCAUUGACUGCCAUAGUGUGGUUGGUCAUGCAGUUCAUGAGCAACCGGGUGCCGCUAUAUAAUACAGCCUAUUAUUCUUCUUCCAUUUACGAUUUAUCAAUUUCCACUUAUCAUCAGUGUGCUAUAUUGGCCACUACAACUACAACAAACAACUUUGCUUCUUCUAAUUAAGUGAAAUAAGAAAGUUUCCAUAACACUAAAUACUUUUACAAUGGCGAAUCACUCGAUAUCUAUGUACCAAUUAACUAUAUUAGUGUAUUCCAUCAUUUCCGGUUUGGGUUUGUCGCUAUGAACUCUAUAUUUCAAAAUAUACGUUUCCCCAAAAAGUUUUAUGUACAUAAGACAUAAUGUAGCAUUCCGAGUAGCAAUAACAAUUGUUUAAAAUCAAUAAAUCACCAAAAUGUAGUUGACGAACUAAUUUGGAAUCAUAAACAAAUGAAUGAUACAUUGUAUAACACACCAAGCUCAUAAAACAUACACAAAUAAUCAAACCACUACAAUAUCUAUUAUUUUUCAAUUACUUCGGCAAAUAAUUCAAACACACCUCCCUUGAUUAGUUUUCCAAUUAGUUUACUUAAUGUUUGCUAUUUCCCAACCGAUUUCACCAUCUAUAGGGGCCCAAAUUAGACUUGGGCCCGAGUUUGGGCCGAACAGACUGAUAAGGUGAACUUAGCCCGACCCAAGUCGUCUGGAUAGGACGAGCAGUAAUUGGGCCGGAUAUCCCACUUGGCCCAACACUUGGGCUGGGUCAAAAAGGCACGUUUUAGACCGGGCUAACGAACUUACGGGCUGGACCAGACUGUCGGACAGCCUAAACUAGAAUCGCAUGGCUUUGUCCGACCGGAACGAGGACAGAGUGUGCAGUCUAGGCCAAACCGGAUCUUACACGUGGUGUGGUUGGAUUGGGUGCAUGCCCAUGGUAUACGGAAGGACGGCAGCUCCUAACUGCAUGGACCUUCUAACUAUCUCGCCAAGAAUAAUGGGAAGGAGCAUAAUAGGAAGGAUAACUGGGAGUAUGCCAAGGCACGUAUCAUGAAUGGCUUAGAGGCUAAGGUGAACAGUCAUAAAUAGGAAGUCACUGCGAGGUAGGUAAGCAAUGCUACCCAUACUGAAACUUCACACUCCUCGUCUAGUAUCAGACUCACUGAAUUAAGCAUGUGGAGAGUCUUUCUGGCCAAACUCAAGCAAAUAAGCUCUAACGUUGUUCUUCCUAUGUUUUAGAGAUCAAGAAAGGAGCGGUGGUUCUCAGAGACUAAAAUCUGUUCACCUUUUAUAUGAAUCCACAAACCAAAAUGGAAACAAGUAAAAAGGCUAACAAAAAAUUAUUUCAAGGGUAAUUAAGUAAUUUUACCUGGUGCAAGGCUUGGGGCAGAAAAUCAUAGUGUAAUCAGCGGAGGCAAAACGUGAAAGGUGAUAGUAUGAUCAUCGUACGCGUAGCUGUAUCGAGCGUGGACACGUGUCUUGAAGAACUGGAGUACUCCGGCACGUGCGGCGUCCAAUUAUUCUUCGCUAAACCAAUACAUGCGGGUCCCCAAACAGCUUUGCACGCUCUUUUACACGCGACUCCCGGUAUUGGAUCCCACCGGACACCCUCAGCUCCGCCGGGCACGCGCCGUGAUGUACACGUAGGCACCCCGUGGAGCUGCAUCCCUAUCUUUGUACCUCCCAUCGCCACCACCUACAUCGGGAGGUUGUACCGUCGACCAAGCUCAUCAUUUAAAAAAUCAAGCCCUUGAUCGCCGUUGAGAGUGUGAAACUCGUCGAGGGGCGCCGGCGCACUGGACCUCGCCGGAGCAGCGUCGGCGUGGCGCAGGAGAAUUUCCUUCCGGCGAGGAAGUCGUGGGAUCAGAGUGCCUGGACCAGAGCCUACCCGACCAUGAAUUGGGGCGUCGUGAGGGUACGGGACUUGCCGCCUCGAGGCCGGUGUGAGCAACUGUCCUGCGCGCUCUAAGUAUCCCGGGCCAUACCGUGUGCCGGCACCCUGUUGAAGAUCUUGAACCUACCGUCUGUUGGAUCAAAAAAAAAAUUGUUAGGGUUUGAAUAAAGAAAAUAAUGGAAUAUUAGGUUUUUGGUUGAGGAUGUUACCUGAGAGAGAAGAAAGGGAAAGCAUAAGAGUGAGAAUGGAGGAGGCCAACAAGGGAAAACGAUCCAUCCAGAGGAGAUUAGGAGAGUGGGGACUCUAUUUGUUUUCCGGGCGACUAAAUUUAAAUUUGAUCAGUGGAGGUGAACUGGAUUUGGGUUCGUCUUUCGUUCUCCUACUUACUUCAUUAAAGUUUUGAACUUUUUUCUUCGGGGAAAUUACAAACAAAAUCUCAUAGGUUGACCUCAUAUUAAAUUAACUCUACUGUUUAUUUAUAACAAAUUAACAUGAAAAUUUUGAUCUGAUCCACAUUAAAACAUUUUCGUCGUUUCUUUCGUUAGAGUUAAUGAAAAAUUUAUUAAAUUCAAGAAAUUAGAAAAAAAACCUUUUUAACAUCAUCACUAUUAAUAUAUGCCAUUAGACUCAUUUUUAGUAAAAUUUAAAAAAUAACUUGAACAUUAAUUAAAAAUAAAACCUAUUGUAAUCGAUUAGGGUUUUUAAAGGUUGAUAAUUUAUAUGGUAUCAUUUUUAAAAGUUUUUGAAAGAGUCAAUAGAUUUUGUCAAAUUUAAUAAAAGGGAAACUAACAGGAGAUUUUAAUUGUGUUCAAAUUAAUUUCAAGAGAUUAUCUAUUAUAAUUAAACCUCACCAUCAAUGACUUAGAGUUAAUUGUGCUUAGGUCAAAUCCUAGGAAUGUUUUGUAUUUUCCCUUUUUCUUUUAUCUGGCGUUGGCUUUUUCAGUGUCAAUAAUUACUAAUAUAUUCCAUGGGGUUUUCUUUCCAAGAUCCAAAAAUUAGGAAAACUAUAAAUACCACCCCGAAUUUUUUUCAAAUACGCCUCACACGCUCAUAGUUUUCUUAAAUUCACGUCCAUCCCUCUAAAUUUAUCACUCAGAUCACAAUUUCCCCUCUCCUUUCAGUCAACAGUUAUGUUGCCAGCAAGUUAUGAUGCUGUCAUCUGUUUUAAGCGGUCGAAUAAUACCCAUUUUAUCCCCUUUCUCUAACGUAACACACGGCCAAUCAAUUAAAUCAACCAAAAUCCCAACACCAAUGUUUCAAUCUCUCUCCUCCCCCAUUAAACCUCUCCAACGUAGCCAACAGGAGAUUUAUUGUGGCGAAUGUGGUGAGCUAGUGGUGGUGUGAGAGGUGAUGGGGGGUAAUGGUGUUGGUAGAGGAAAGUAGAAGAGAGAGAGAGAAAUUUGUUUGUUUGUUUGUUUUGUUACUUUAAUGCAAAAGAUUAGGAUUAUUAGUCAUUUCCCACUUGGUUUUUAAUGGUGAGGAAGAAUCUGGCUGUAAUUUUUAAAAUCAUGAGACUGAGACUAUAGUUGACAAACCCUCGGGUGGUAUUUGAUUUUAUCCAAAAAUUAAAACAAAGCCCAGCCAAUAGAUUGUAAAAAUUAAUAUUUAAAAAAUUCAUUUAAAUUUUACAUGGCCUUUUGUAAGAAAAAGUUUAGAUAUUAAACAUAAAAUUUGAACUGGUUUUUACAUACUUUUCCAAAAACACCAUUUUUGGUCCAGUUUUGAAUAAAUAAUUUUUUUAUAAUAAUUUAUAUUUUAGAUGUCCAUUUUUUUAUUUUUUUAAUUAGAUCUUUGUACUGUUUGGUUUGUCUUAAUUAAAAAAUCAAAAAAGUUAAAAAAUAUUAGUAGAAAGUUACUAAAAUAAAAAAAUAUUCCAAAUAACCUGUAAAAAUUAAUCAUCUAAAAAAUUAAUUUAGAAUUUAUGGCUUUUGUAAGAAGAAAAUUGUAAUUUUUUUUUUUUACUUUUUUAAUUUUUCUAUUCAAGAUAAUCGAAUUUUUUUUUUUAGUAUUUUGGAAAAGCGAGAUGAAAUCACAUUUUCAUUCUGCCAUAUCCAAAUGCUGAAAUUAAUAAGAAAUCGGAACUAACCUAUCCGUUUUCUCCUCAAAAUUCUUUGUCAAUCCAAACCUAAUUAUACAAUCAAAAUCAAAUAAAAAAAUAAUACUAUAAUUUUCUAUAUUGUCCUUAUAUCCUCACUUUGAGAAGUAUUAUGACUAUUCUAAGGGUGAUGGCCUCCUCUUCCGGCAUCAAAAAAAAUGAUGGGUCAGUUUUCGAUUUGGGGCCUCUCUUGGACUCACGGGAUAAGCCCGAUUAUUCUGUUGGCUCGCAAAACGGAAACGUUUUUGAAAAUAUUUAAAAAUAUUUUAACGUGAAAUAUAAAAUACUAAAAUAUAAUCUCUCUUAAUAAAAAUUACAUCAUUUAUGAAAAAUUUAAAUUCAGUUAAUCCAUUUAUUGUUUAGGUAUAUAGCGUUGUAUUUUUUUUUGUGCAUUGUUCUAUAUUUUAGUCGGUUUUUGAUCGUAAUAAUAAUAUUUCGUUAUUUUCAAUUCACUAAUUUUCGCUUUCCCUCUUAGAAACGUUUUCGGCUGUUUUCGAUGGAAGCAAAAUAAUUUUGUCCUUGCUCCGGACAAAAAAGGUAAACCAUAUUAUUUAAAUAACACACUUACUCUAAGGUUAGAAUCCAUAUAAUUUACUCUAUAGAGCACUAGAUAAUUUCUCGCAAUACAAUACGAUUUUAUCUAUUUAAAUUGAAUACAUGUGGGCCUGUCUCUAUUAAAAUGGAAGACUAGAGAGAGUGACAGACAUGCAUGCACGAAGUAAAUGAGAAAGCACACGAUCAGACUCAUAAUGACAUUAAAAACCUUAUGAUCAUAAAGAUAGCAACAACAGUUUAUCUCAAAUGCGUCACUGCCAAUAAAGUUUUGUGGACAAAAUAGAGAUGCCAAAUUACUGGAUGUCAUGUUCCUAAAAUGGGACCAAUUUGCUAGAACAAGGCCAAAGCCCAUAAAAAAAAUCCUGUAAUUUUUUUUGACCUUGUUAACAAAUUAAAACCUUGAUUUGUUACAUUAAAACUAUAAAAUUUAAUUUGUUUUACGGUCAACCCCUAAUUUUUAUUUUUUUUUUGUAAUUUUCCAAAAUUUAAAGCCAAAAAUUAUGAAAACAAGAGCAGUACUAAAGCUACUCACCCAGUUUAACCAAUUACUCCCCUUAAAUAAAUGCUGAAAAUAAAUCAACAAUGACCGAUCAAUACAGAAUAAAAAAAAUAAUGAAAAAUACCCAUAUUGAUAUGUUGAUGUAAUAUUUAAAAAUAACUAAAAUGCCCAACAUUAAAAGUUUUUUAUUUUUAAAAAAAAUGAAACUUGAAAAUAUGAUGGCAGAUUCUUAAACUUGACUCCCCUAAGACUAUGCCUGGUAUCAUAACAAAAAUGAUGCCACACAACCAUGCAAUAGAAGUUAAAACAAAACAAAACUCUAAAGAGAGGUUCUAUGAGCAAAAAAAAACACGAAUAGUGUAAGAAUCACUUACAAACAUAUGAACUUGAGAUUAAAUGCUUAUUUCGAGAUAUGCAUUUCAAUUGUUCAUAUUUAUACAGCUAGGUUAUAUAUACAGUAUAUACUGUUUUUAGUUUUAUGCCGAGCUGUUUAGAUGCUCCAACAACUUUGAAUAUUGGGUGAGAUUUUGUUAAUAGUCUCCAGGGCGGCCGUUUCUUUCUUUAACCGAAAGUUCACAUAGUUUAGGCUAUUUCUAGAUCGAGAUGCCCAGGGUUCGAAGCUGGUGUGCCGUGUUACUAUUUAAGCAUCCCAUGUGCACAUUGGUUUAACCAUUUUGUGGAUGCAUCUGUUAUUCAACCUUACAUAUUCAUAUAUCAACCAUCAUGCAUAUUUGUUUAUUACCACUGCUAUCUAAUGAUGAGUUACAAUAUGGAAUAACCAGAGAAUAAUACAUACCUAAUUGGUCGGGUAUCGAGAACCUUUCUCAGGAAUAGGGGCCUUUACAUUGUUGCAACCAUGUAAUUAAGCAAUUGGGACACGUUUGGGGUCUUCUGGAAGAGAAUGGAUGUUUGAAUUUUACCUGUUCACUAGCUAAAUGCCUAGAGAGAAUAUAAACAUUGAAUAUGAACGUACAACUACGAUUACCACUCCACGAUUAUGCCAUAAUUGUUGCUGAUAUGUUUGAAAGCCUUAAGUGGGCUAAAAGAAUCAAUUGGAAGGACAGAUCCCCCUAAAAAACACAUUUUGCAAGGUUCAAUCAUGAAAAAAAAGGGAGACAACUGAGAGAUUUGUAAGCAACAAACCAUCUAAUUUUGGCUAAACAACAAAUUAUUAACAUGUAACUUUAUCCACAGUUAACAAUUAACUAGGGCUCCACCAAAUUCAAAUAUUGAACACUACAGUGGCAUGUGAUGUGGGUGCUUACGAUUAAUGAAGUCAAAAAGAGCAUGUAUGGACCAAUUUCGUCUCCCACUUAAAUUAACAUAUGGCUUGGGUGCUCACUGAUCCCAUACCCGUGUCCUUAUUGGUCCACAUGCACAAGUCGGCAUAUUAAGUUCUGAUACUGUGGUGUGGGGAAGGAAAACUCAAGGAAAUUAAUAGAUAGGAAAAUCGAAAAAGAAAUUAAUUUUGUCACUUCAUUACACCUGUAUUUGCUUUUUACCUUUCCUGUCCACAUUCCCAUGCACAUUCCAUGAUUCCUAUACACUAAAACUUUUUGAUUGGUCACACCACUGAAAAAGAAAUUGCUCUGGAAUGCAGACCUUUUCCUUUUCGAAUACCAUUAUUAAGUGUAUAUUGAAGCCAUUUACAUGAAAUAUUUUCUCUACAAGUCAAAUCAAAGAAACUCCAACCUUUAAUACCAUACAGAGGCAUUUGUUAGAUGCAAAUAACCGAAAAUGUAGGGCGACUUUCAAACAACAGAACACCACUCCCCAGUGUUUAGCUACACUUAUCAAUUCCCCGUUGCAUGCAAUCCGUUGAAAAAAAAAUGAUGUAAUUCAAAUGUCUAAUAUUUCUAGGGGUACAUGGUAGAUCUUUUACUGAUAUAUUUUCUAUGAGAAAGGAUUUUUCCUAUAUCAUUGCCGAAUAAAAAUGUCAUAUAUUCCAUUGACUAGGGAAAAGACAUUCUUGUUGAUCUUAUAACUAUAUUGGUGCUGCAGUGAUAUAUGGGCAUGACACAGCUCAAAAUCUAGGAAUGCAUUUCAUUUUUUUAACUUGAAUGGUGAGAAUAACAGGACAGUUGAAAAAUAUGUGCGGAAAUUUCGCUGCCAUUUCGUUGGUUCGAAUGCUGGCUAUAGCGCCAUGGCCUUAUCCCUCCAAAAGAGCUAAUGAGUCAAAGCAUUAAUCCUUAUUUAAAGAGAUGCGCUAAAAUACAGUAGGUGAUGGUGAACCGGCUGGUCGUCACCCUUGCUCAAUAUUCUCCCAGCCAAUACAAUUAAUUGAAGGAUUCAAUAUCAAAUGGUGAGCUUUCAAGUAAGGUUUAUAUACACUUCAAUGCCCAAAUACAUGCAUAAGUCAAUUGAAAGACAUCCAUUGGUCUGUUUUAUUAUGAGUCUGUGUACACACAAAAAAACUUAAAGGUGUCGCACUAAGGUUGUUUUAGGACUUAUGAAUGUGUGCCCAAUGAAUUUUUUAGAAGAUCCUAUCCUCGGUUUCGACGGGUUAAUCUUAAGAGCUAAACAGGCCAGGUUUAAAGCCAUUAUGGAGCAAGGUUACAUAUAUUUUUAACAAUAAAUAAACUAAAAAUGGUGAGAGACUGCACAGUUAUAAUAUUUUCUAUCCUAUCUAAAUUGGAGGUUUUUAAGCUUUCAAGGCCCUAAUAUCAGCCAACUCGGCUCUCUUUCAAAAACGUACAAGCAACAAACAGAUCACCCACUGUGUUUCCAACGAUAGAUUGAUAAGCAACCGAUAAUUGCCCCAAGAAGUUAACUCUGCAUUGUCAUGAGUCCAUCCUUUAUCAAGUUUUUGAAACUUUACUAUUGUUGAACAUCUGUCCCUUACAAAACAAAUCAUUUUCUUUUCAUCACAAGAUACAAUCAUCUUAGACAUCCUCUUCAAGCUAUAGUUUUAUUUUCCAUGCUUAAGCAAGACUACUUUCAAGUUUAAACUCAUCAGUUGUUGACACUUGACAAAUGAAAUUUACUGAAUUCGACGUAACUUCAUCUUCUACAGCUGUUGUAUCCAACUUAUAUAACAUAAACCACAUAAGAAAUAACUUUGAUUGACUAUAUUGCAUGAAGUAUCUGAUUUUGAGGCAUUAUGGAAUUAUUUGGUUGACUAAAGUUGUAGGGGAGAAUUUUUGUGCUCUCAAGGCAUAAGGCUAAAGUUCAGCUAAACUGCCAUCUACUGGAAGUUAUCAUCUUCUCCGUGAAAUGAUUUUGUGGAUUUU